GGAACCUCUCGGGGUUACAGCCUUGCUGAAUUAUUCACCCUUGUCUUUUGCGUACUUCUUGUUUCCUUGGUGGGUUCGCCCACCACUAGGACAAACAUAAACCUUUUGUAAUUGCAAUCAGCGUCAGUAACAAAUUAAUAAUUACAACUUUCAACAACGGAUCUCUUGGUUCUGGCAUCGAUGAAGAACGCAGCGAAAUGCGAUAAGUAGUGUGAAUUGCAGAAUUCAGUGAAUCAUCGAAUCUUUGAACGCACAUUGCGCCCUUUGGUAUUCCAAAGGGCAUGCCUGUUCGAGCGUCAUUUGUACCCUCAAGCUUUGCUUGGUGUUGGGCGUCUUGUCUCUAGCUUUGCUGGAGACUCGCCUUAAAGUAAUUGGCAGCCGGCCUACUGGUUUCGGAGCGCAGCACAAGUCGCACUCUCUAUCAGCAAAGGUCUAGCAUCCAUUAAGCCUUUUUUUCAACUUUUGACCUCGGAUCAGGUAGGGAUACCCGCUGAACUUAAGCAUAUCAAUAAGCGGAGGAA
rnacentral:rRNA from 1 species